rnacentral:lncRNA from 1 species
UGCGAGGCAGGCAGUGAUGCUGCGGCCGCUUCGCACUGUGGCUCCUGCCGACCGCCAGGCGCUGUUACAGUGGAUGCGAACUAACCGUAAGUAUGCAGCAGCAGCCGGAACCCACAGUUCACCUUGGUGCAUUCCUUUAUGAUGAAGACUUAUUGAUUCAUUAUAUGAGAAAGGAAAAAUGAGCAGAAACUACUGUAUGAUGUGCAGCUCACACCAGACAGCAACUUUAGGGUUAUCUUUCCAGUUCAGCAGUGCAACUCUAUGGAGUAGAAUUGAAAGGAGACUUUUCGCCAAUUGCAGGAAAUGGUCAUAAAAAAAUACCUGCUCACUGACAGAAUAAAGUCUCACUCUGUCACCUGGCUGGAGUUUAGUGACACGAUCUUAGCUCCCUGCAACCUCUGCCUCCUGAGUUCAAGUGAUUCUCCUACCUCAGCCUCCUGAGUAGCUGGAAUUACAGAGUAAUUUAUCCCUACUUACAGAGAGAUUGCCCUACGUGUAACAGCUGCAUACAAAAAAGUUAUAAAAUUAUCAUUGGUUUAACAAGGAUAAGUGAAAAACAUU